GACGAACGCUGGCGGCGUGCUUAACACAUGCAAGUCGUACGGUAAGGCCCUUUCGGGGGUACACGAGUGGCGAACGGGUGAGUAACACGUGAGUAACCUGCCCACAACUUUGGGAUAACGCUAGGAAACUGGUGCUAAUACUGGAUAUGUGCUCCUGCUGCAUGGUGGGGGUUGGAAAGCUCCGGCGGUUGUGGAUGGACUCGCGGCCUAUCAGCUUGUUGGUGGGGUAGUGGCCUACCAAGGCGGCGACGGGUAGCCGGCCUGAGAGGGUGACCGGCCACAGUGGGAAUGAGAUACGGCCCAGACUCCUACGGGAGGCAGCAGUGGGGAAUAUUGCACAAUGGGCGCAAGCCUGAUGCAGAAACGCCGCGUGCGGGAUGACGGCCUUCGGGUUGUAAACCGCGUUCAGCAGGGACGAAGCUUUUUGUGACGGUACCUGCAGAAGAAGCACCGGCUAACUACGUG
rnacentral:rRNA from 1 species